rnacentral:rRNA from 1 species
GGUAGCAUAAUCAUUAGUCUCCUAAUUAGAGGCUUGUAUGAAUGGUCGGACAAGAUGGAAACUGUCUCAAUACAAUCAAUAAAAAUUAAUAUUUAAGUAAAAAAGCUUAAAUGAUAUGGAGGGACGAUAAGACCCUAUAAAGCUUUAUAAUAUUUCUUUUUUAUAUAAAUUGUGUUAUUGUUAACUUAUUUUAAAGAUUUUAUUAUUUUACUGGGGCGGUAAAAGUAUAUUAAAGAUUAACUGCUUUUGUUUUUUAUAACAAUCGUAAUUGGAAAUAAAUUGAUCCAUUAUUAAUGAUCACAAGAACAAGUUACUUUAGGGAUAACAGCGUAAUUUUUCUUGAGAGUUCUCAUCGAAAGAAAAGUUUGCGACCUCGAUGUUGAAUUAAGGAAGCCUUAAGGUGC